GACAAAAUCUGAUGAAGACAGGCUGAAUGGCAUAGGGUGGCCCCUCUGAAACCCUCUGGGCAAGAGGGCAAGCGAGUAGGUGUAAGACCCACAUUUAUACCGCCCUUUUCAACGCCAUUUCUUCAAUCCCAAGCCCACGCUACACACAACAAUGAAGACCAAGAGGAAAACCGAAGCCCAAACGACGCCGUUUCAUGGCCCCAACCUUCACCCUCACCCACACCCAGAGCACAAUGACGAUGGCGGAACCCAGCACGAAGAAGACGAAACGACGCCGUAUCAGGAGGCUCAGCAAGAUGAGGAGGUGGAGGAGGAGGAGGAGGAGGAAGAAGAAGAAGUGGAGGAGGGGGAGGGGGAGGGGGAGGGGGAAGGGGAAGGGGAAGGGGAAGGGGAAGGGGGGGAGCAGUCUGAGCGGCCGAAGCUGGACGAUGGGUUCUACGAAAUCGAGGCCAUUAGGAGGAGGAGGGUUCGCAAGGGUCAGCUUCAGUACCUCAUCAAAUGGCGGGGUUGGCCUGAGAACGCCAACACUUGGGAGCCCUUGGAGAAUCUUCAGGCCUGUUCGGAUGUCAUUGAUGCUUUUGAAGAUAGGCUGAGAUCUAAGAGAAAUAGGUCUUCUCGGAAGCGCAAGCGCAAGUCUGGAGGUAGUGCUCAAACCCUUCCCAAGAAGAAACAGCAGCGUUCUGGUGCUAGUAAUGUAAGGGGUGUGCAUUUUCGUAUCAAUGAUGAGCAUCUUCUAUCUACGCAUGUCAACACUUUGGGUCAUGCUGAUAUUGAGGGGGUUAAUGGGGCUGUCAACAAUGUGGAAAUGACCAAGGAAAGCAAUGAAAAUGGGUCUGGAGAUGUUUCCCUUCAAAUUCCACAGAGGGAGGAGGACAACGAUUCAGAUCCGAAGCUUAUAGAGCUUAGAGGGUCCAAUGAAGGCAAUGCCAAUAAAUUCAAAAUACAAUUCCAAGAGGUCAAGGCUUUGGAAGGUGAUUGCCCCAUGAAUGGGCAUUCCAAGGUUGAACGUGUUGAAAUGGAUCAAAGCAGUCGCCGCACAGGAGCUAGACGGAGAAAAUCUGGUUCUGUGAAAAGGUUCACGAAAGAUCUUGCCCCGUGUGAACCAAAUGACAUACAGAAUACAGCAACUAGAAUUCAAAUUGGUUCAUGUGGUAGAGUUGAAAGCCCUGAAUUUCCAGGGAAUGAUUCGGGCCUCAAUAACAAAUUUGAUGGUGCCAUAAAUAUGUCUGCUAUCACUGAGAUCAUCAAGCCUAUAAGCUAUUCUGCCUCCAUAUCAAAUGAUGCCCAGGAUGUGUCAGUCACCUUUAUGGCCAUGAGGUCCGAUGGAAAAGAGGUGAUGGUGGAUAACAAAUUUCUCAAGGCUAACAAUCCACUUCUGUUAAUCAACUUUUAUGAACAACAUCUCCGUUACAGUCCUACAACUUGACUGGAAAAUAUGUAGUUAUGGACAGCAUGAGCAUAUGUAGCUGGAGCCACGUCAUCUUUGCUUCUCUCCUUACGCUGUGUUGGAAUUUUGUAGUUGCAAGUGAUAGUGCAGGACAACCAGUUCAAACUUUCUUGGGUGGGUGGUAAAUAUUGCAAGGCUGAGUCGAAUAGCAGGAGGCCAUGUCUUUCUUUUUCUUCUUGUUUGUGGGUGUUGGUGAUUAGUAUGAAUAGCUACUUAGCGAUGAGAAAGUCUUGUUCACAACUUUAACUUCUGUCCAGCAAACCAGUAGCUCUGGAUAUGAUGGUGGUGGGUUUGGUCUUGGAACUUUGCUUAUGGUUGUGCUGUUCUUGAUUCUGUAUAAUCUGGUGUGAGGUUCUGUCAUCUUUGAUAGAAGGCUUCUAUGUACAUUUUAAAAGAAAAAGGAAUAGGUUUCAUGGAUUGUUUACCUUUUGGAGAAUAUACAAGUUGCAAAAUCCAUAGAUUAUGUGUUUGAUUUCAAAUUUGUAGAAUUCUAAUUUUAUGUGAAGGAAAACGUUAGCUAUAGUUGUUUAA